AGAUUGAACGCUGGCGGCAGGCCUAACACAUGCAAGUCGAGCGGCAGCACGGGUACUUGUACCUGGUGGCGAGCGGCGGACGGGUGAGUAAUGCCUAGGAAUCUGCCUGGUAGUGGGGGAUAACGCUCGGAAACGGACGCUAAUACCGCAUACGUCCUACGGGAGAAAGCAGGGGACCUUCGGGCCUUGCGCUAUCAGAUGAGCCUAGGUCGGAUUAGCUAGUUGGUGAGGUAAUGGCUUACCAAGGCGACGAUCCGUAACUGGUCUGAGAGGAUGAUCAGUCACACUGGAACUGAGACACGGUCCAGACUCCUACGGGAGCAGCAGUGGGAAUAUUGGACAAUGGACGAAAGCCUGAUCCAGCCAUGCCGCGUGUGUGAAGAAGGUCUUCGGAUUGUAAAGCUAACUUUAAGGUUGGGAGG
rnacentral:rRNA from 1 species